ensembl:snoRNA
AUAUCAAAAGAAAGAGGGUAAUAGAUGUAAGAAAAGUGUCCUCAUGCUUUCUGUCUGUCUUUGGCAGCCCAGAUUGAAUGGGGGAAGACAGGG